GGGGCGCCCGGGCAACAGUGAGGGUGGGUCCGCCCAUGAGCUUUUUGGUUUUACAAAGGUACUCCGUACUAGCACAAACCAGAAUGGAAAUUCACCCAGCUCCAUUAAGGGGAGGGAGUGAGAGCUAGAAGAAGACAUGGAUGGUUGGUUCAUCGCGCGCAUAAACUAGCUUAUUAGGUACUUGUUCAAUCAGAUGAUCUGAGAGAGUCUCUACAUCCGCGUCCAUGCGCCACUGCCAGCCAGCCUCCUACUAGCUAGGCAUCCACCCAACAACAAACACCUUCGCAACAAGGCAAGGAGAUCGAUGAUGUACGCCCACUCGCCGCCGGUCUUCGACCUCUCCUUCUCCGCUGCUCCUACACCACCGUCACCGCUUCCUCCUCUUCCUCUUCCUCUUCUACAUGAAGGUGAAGCCGACGACGCCAUCUACAACCACCUCGGAAACAAGGGGCAGCCAUCCUUGAUACCAGAGUAUGACCUUGGAGGAGAAGGGGAUCUGUUCAAGGCUCCAGAGCCCAUAAUUGAAGAACCACUGCUUACCCUUGACUCGAUCACGGCUGCCAUCUCGAUAAUGUCCUGCUAUGAGAAUACAAUGGAUGACACCAUCCAGGUUUCAGACAUGGGUUUGAGUGAAGUGAUGUACGAGUGCAAGAAGGAGGUCAUGGAGAAGUCGGUGAUCGAAGAGAUGAUAUCCGAACUUCUAGAAGCCAUCCCUAUGUUACAAGUUGAGAAGGUCCCCGGAGAACUCAGGGCAUCACCUUUAACCGGUGAAUGCUCACUCCAGAAGAGUGUUAGCUCUGAAUGCCUCAACUCGGCCGAUUGGAUGAAUGGGUCGGUGAGGCCAAAUUUCUUGGAUUUCCAAGGGCUCGACUUCAAGGCGGCCUUCGGGCUAAGGAAGAAAUGGAAUCUUGGUGCCAAUACCCCUGGGCUUGUAACCAUCAGUGACCUAAAAACUGAGGAAAGGAAGCAGAAGCUCUCCAGGUACAGGAUGAAGAAGUUCAAGAGAAACUUUGGCAGAAAGAUCAAGUAUGCUUGCAGGAAGGCUAUGGCAGACAGCCAGCCAAGAACGCGAGGGAGGUUCGCCAAGAUGCACCAUGGCGACAUGCUCAAGCCGAGGAAGUAAAAUCAUGGGAAGACCGCCGAGGUUGUGGCGAAGCUGAUGAGAAAGACAAGGUUAUUGUAAGGAAUUAUGCUACUACUGAGCUACCAGUAAAGCUUGUCGUCGUCUAGAAUCUUCUAGAUGAACACAGGGAAAUAGAAAUGUCACCCGAAGGAGCGGACUGUUGGAGCGACUAAAAUUAAUUCCGAUGGGUGGCGCAGCGUUGCACAGCAACCAUCAUCCUAGAAGAUGGUGCACCUCACCUAGAAGCUUGUAGAUGCCGACGAGCUUGCUGGAAGCUCAGCGGCAGCUCAAAUUCCUUCCAUGCAGCCCUUUCUUCCUUCCUCUGCUGGCAGAAUUGGUAACAUCUGAAAUCACAUCACUAGCUAGUGUGCCUUGCAUAGCUUUAUUUAAAGGCCUUUCUCUUGAGCAAAUCACUACACUGUGCUCCAUCUACAUCUACAUCUACAAUAAGUUUUCUCCAAUGCAUUUUAGGUUUGUUUUCUGUACUUAUUGUCUCUUUUGUCAACAGUUGUGCUCAUUGGAGACACAAAAGGUCAGUGCUUGUCACAAUAAUUCCAUAUCCAUGUGAGAACCAACCUGAGGUUGGGUGGUUAGGAGGAUGGUUGUAUCCCCAGCCCACCAGAGUUCAAACCCCAGGUUUGACAUCUGUGUGUCUCAUAAAGGCGGAAUAUUCAUUCAGUGGGAGGCGACGUUCCCGUCGACAGCGAGGCGCCUGUGGUGACUUCGUCAAUUUCAAGAUCCAAUCCGCCGGCUCAGUCUUCCGAAGGUGCUCAUAGGGGUAGGGUGUGCGUGUGUGCGUUCAUAGGGGUGAGUGUAUGCGCGUGUAUGUGAGCGUCUGCGUUUGUACU